CUCUGUGACUCCUACGGGAGGCAGCAGUGGGGAAUAUUGCACAAUGGGCGCAAGCCUGAUGCAGCCAUGCCGCGUGUGUGAAGAAGGCCUUCGGGUUGUAAAAGCACUUUCAGUUGUGAGGAAGGUGGUGUCGUUAAUAGCGGCAUCAUUUGACGUUAGCAACAGAAGAAGCACCGGCUAACUCCGUGCCAGCAGCCGCGGUAAUACGGAGGGUGCGAGCGUUAAUCGGAAUUACUGGGCGUAAAGCGCAUGCAGGUGGUUUGUUAAGUCAGAUGUGAAAGCCCGGGGCUCAACCUCGGAACUGCAUUUGAAACUGGCAGACUAGAGUACUGUAGAGGGGGGUAGAAUUUCAGGUGUAGCGGUGAAAUGCGUAGAGAUCUGAAGGAAUACCGGUGGCGAAGGCGGCCCCCUGGACAGAUACUGACACUCAGAUGCGAAAGCGUGGGGAGCAAACAGGAUUAGAUACCCUGGUAG
rnacentral:rRNA from 1 species